CACGUAGGGGCGAGCGUUGUCCGGAAUUACUGGGCGUAAAGGGCGCGCAGGCUGUUAUGCGAGUCUGCUGUGAAAUGUACCGGCUCAACCGGUGCCUUGCGGCGGAUACUGCAUAGCUGGAGUACUGGAGAGGGAAGUGGAAUUCCCGGUGUAGCGGUGAAAUGCGUAGAUAUCAGGAGGAACACCGAUGGCGAAGGCAGGUCUCUGGGACACUACUGACGCUGAGAAGCGAAAGCAUGGGGAGCGAACAGGA
rnacentral:rRNA from 1 species